UACGUAGGGGGCUAGCGUUGUCCGGAUUUAUUGGGCGUAAAGGGCGCGUAGGCGGGAUGGCAAGUCGGUCGUGAAAGCCUUCGGCUCAACCGAAGAACGUCGGCCGAUACUGCCGUUCUUGAGGGAUGCAGAGGAGACUGGAAUUCCCGGUGUAGCGGUGAAAUGUGUAGAGAUCGGGAGGAACACCGGUGGCGAAGGCGGGUCUCUGGGCAUCUCCUGACGCUGAGGCGCGAAAGCGUGGGGAGCAAACGGG
rnacentral:rRNA from 1 species